AUGGGAAAUGUCUGCUGAAUAACCUAGACAGCAUAGCAGUGAUGCUGUCAAUCCCAUUAGCCAAGCCAGGCUCCCUCUCCUCAGAGAUAUUGGAGCUUCAUCUUUCUACUCAGAUAAGAAUCUCCAGGCGCCUUGGGAGGAUGGACAGUCUGGGCUCAUUUGAUGAAGAGUCUGCUGCAAGCUCAUGGGGACUUGACUUCUGAUCCCCAGAAGCCAUGUAAAGGCCAUGCAUGGUGACACGCAUCAGGAGCCUCUGAUCUAGGAAUGCAGAGCUAGGCAGGUCCCUAGGGCUCAUUGGCCACCCAGCCACACAAAAUAAGUCCCCAUUUCAAUGAGAGACACCAUCUCAAGAGUAAAAAUGAGGGGCAGAGCAGUUGAGAAUGGCUCCCAAAGUCAACCUCUAGCCUAUAACACACACACACACACACACACACACACACACACACACACACACACACACACACACACACACCACAGAGGGAGGGGUGGUGUGCGUACCUCAUGACACAAGACAGGAUUUAUUCUGGAGCAAACAGAGAACAAAGAAGCACCUGCUGUGCCCCACAGGAUUUGGGGUCCUUCCUUGGUGUUGUAUCACAGGGACCAUCUUGAAGGCGCACUGCCAUCAAAUGAUGGACAGGCUCCUUCCUAAAGACUUCUAUCCAAUAGCUUUGUGUCACAGCAAAGCCAAGGUUUAUGCAGAAAGCAACUAGUAGCUUGGUUAGAAAAGCCUCGCCUAUGCUCUU
ensembl:antisense Runx2os3 runt related transcription factor 2, opposite strand 3